CCCCUCUCAGGGUCACACCUGGAGAGUUUCCAAUACUCUUCCAGUCUCGGCUAGGGUAGGGAGAGUCAAGCAGAGGCCUGCCCGUUCCUUUCCUAGCUUGGGCAGUAGCUAGUGAGUGGAAGGCAAUCUGCUACAAGU